rnacentral:rRNA from 1 species
GGAGUCUAACAUGUGCGCAAGUCAUUGGGUUCUACGAAACCUAAAGGCGAAAUGAAAGUGAAAGCUAUCUCUGGUAGCCUAGGAGUGAUCCAAGCAAUUGGCGCAACUCCGUCCGGUCAAAAUUGCUUAGCAAUAUGGCUGCGAAAGAGCGUACAUGUUGGGACCCGAAAGAUGGUGAACUAUGCCUGAGCAGGAUGAAGCCAGAGGAAACUCUGGUGGAGGUCCGUAGCGGUUCUGACGUGCAAAUCGAUCGUCAAACUUGGGUAUAGGGGCGAAAGACUAAUCGAACCAUCUAGUUGCUGGUUCCCUCCGAAGUUUCCCUCAGGAUAGCUGGCACUCAUUAGCAGUUUUAUCCGGUAAAGCGAAUGAUUAGAGGACUUGGGACGAAACGACCUCAACCUAUUCUCAAACUUAAAUAGGGUAAGAUGUCUGUACCCGCUUAAUUGGGUCGGGCCGACGAAUGCGAGUGCCCAGUGGCACUUUGGUAAGCAGAACUGGCGCUGUGGGAUGAACC